AAAGAAACAUGUUAAUCAAAGUAAAGCUUCUAACUUAAAUUUUAAGCGGUGAAAUUCCGUUUAU
rnacentral:tRNA from 1 species